UAGUGCAUGCAUGGCACGUGUGAAAAGCUACAGAGCGCGUGUAUUUGCUUUAUUUUGCAGUCUAAGGCACGUCGAAUCUUAUAAUUUCUGUCGCGCGAACAGUCAUUUUACUCCUACUCCUAGUGGCAGUAGCGCGCCGUGGGAGCAUGUGGCCAGAAUAGUUAAUAAGAGCUUGUCCCUAAAGCUCAGCCAUACUGUGCUGUCGGAAAUAUACCCACAUGGUUCUAUAUCUCCAGCUCACGUAUAAAAAUCGUGUUCCAUAAUGACAUCACCGUAUGGAGUGCACAAAUUUUGUCUCUAGAGACAAGUUAGAACCCUGGGCCUCUGGUAUAAGUCGUGAAAGACUUUACUGGGAUUAAAUGCUUAGGGUGGAGUCUAAGCAGCCGUAAUAUUCCACUGCCAGUUACUGAGCACUUCGAGUUCUGUUGUCAACAUGGCAGGCAGUGCACCCUUACAGACAGGCCUAGCUUCCCUAAGGCCCAGGGGCUGUACGACCCACUGCUGGAGAAAGACAUCUGUGGGGUGGGGUUCAUUGUCAACAUACACAGCAUCAGGUCUUGAAAGACCUUGCUCGACUAUGGCUACCCCAGAAGACCUGGACACCACCAGGUUCCUUCAUUGCAAGAAGCGCCAAAAGGUAUUUCUACAAAAGAGGAUUGUCAUGGGCCUCCAAUAUACCUUGCCUGUCAUCGAUGCACUUUCCAGUUCAAACACCGGGAUAAUCUGCAAAAGCACUACAGGAGGGCCCAUGAGCAGUUCCUUGGUGACCUCCAGACCAACGACCAUCGGCAGCUCGCCGGUCUGGUGCAGAGCACUGAAAUCCCUCCUCAGCCCACAUCGUAUAAGGUUUUGAAUGGAGUUGAGAUCCCUGUGGCUGAAGAGUUGGUCAUUUCUCCAUCAGUGUCACUCCUGCCAGCAGAAGCCGCCAAUCAAGGCUCGACCACCAACGAGGAAAUCCCUGUCACACCAGCUACAUGUACCAAGAUGGCUUCAGUGCCAGCACCGGUCACUGGCAAGUCACUGGCCAGUGAAAAUAGCAAGAAUUGGAGGUAAAAGUAUCACGGGGGAGGGUGGGGAGUGUGAAGAUUGCUACAUCUGCGACGACCCCAGCAACAGCGUACGCCCCGCCAUCAAGCAUCCAUGGGACAGUUUGGAGUCACAAUCUCCUACCUGGCUCAUGCUGAUGAGCUGCAGAUCAAGAUGGCACAGGGAGCCAAGCCCGGGGAAGGAGGUGACCUACCAGGCCACAAGGUGUCUGACAACAUUGCCAAAACUUUCUCCUCCGUUCCAGGGGUGGGGUUAGUCUCCCCUCCUCCUCAUGACAUCUACUCCAUCGGGGACUUGGCAGAGUUGAUUUACAACUUGAAUUACGUUAUUGAUGGCAAGAAAGAUCACGUUUCAUUGGUCAUGGAGAUCACCAGUCAGAGCAGCUGAGGUUCCGCAUCGCCAAGUAAGUCAGGAUGGGCUUCAUGUAAAUUGUCAUUUUUGUUUAAACAUCUGGUAUAGUUGUAGUUUGACAA